rnacentral:rRNA from 1 species
GAUGAACGCUGGCGGCGUGCCUAAUACAUGCAAGUCGAGCGAACAGAUAAGGAGCUUGCUCCUUUGACGUUAGCGGCGGACGGGUGAGUAACACGUGGGUAACCUACCUAUAAGACUGGAAUAACUCCGGGAAACCGGGGCUAAUGCCGGAUAACAUGUUGAACCGCAUGGUUCUACAGUGAAAGGCGGCUUUGCUGUCACUUAUAGAUGGACCCGCGCCGUAUUAGCUAGUUGGUGAGGUAACGGCUCACCAAGGCAACGAUACGUAGCCGACCUGAGAGGGUGAUCGGCCACACUGGAACUGAGACACGGUCCAGACUCCUACGGGAGGCAGCAGUAGGGAAUCUUCCGCAAUGGGCGAAAGCCUGGCGGAGCAACGCCGCGUGAGUGAUGAAGGUCUUCGGAUCGUAAAACUCUGUUAUUAGGGAAGAACAAAUGCGUAAGUAACUGUGCGCGUCUUGACGGUACCUAAUCAGAAAGCCACGGCUAACUACGUG